UUUCAGCGCCGAAGAAGCGAGAGUGACGGUAGGCGCAGAAGAAGCACCGGCUAACUACGUGCCAGCAGCCGCGGUAAUACGUAGGGUGCGAGCGUUGUCCGGAAUUAUUGGGCGUAAAGAGCUUGUAGGCGGUUUGUCGCGUCUGCUGUGAAAACCCAGGGCUUAACCCUGGGCCUGCAGUGGGUACGGGCAGACUAGAGUGUGGUAGGGGAGACUGGAAUUCCUGGUGUAGCGGUGAAAUGCGCAGAUAUCAGGAGGAACACCGAUGGCGAAGGCAGGUCUCUGGGCCACUACUGACGCUGAGAAGCGAAAGCAUGGGGAGCGAACAGGAUUAGAUACCCUGGUAGUCCAUGCCGUAAACGUUGGGCGCUAGGUGUGGGACUCAUUCCACGAGUUCCGUGCCGCAGCUAACGCAUUAAGCGCCCCGCCUGGGGAGUACGGCCGCAAGGCUAAAACUCAAAGGAAUUGACGGGGGCCCGCACAAGCGGCGGAGCAUGCGGAUUAAUUCGAUGCAACGCGAAGAACCUUACCAAGGCUUGACAUAUACCGGAAACAUCUGGAGACAGGUGCCCCGCAAGGUCGGUAUACAGGUGGUGCAUGGUUGUCGUCAGCUCGUGUCG
rnacentral:rRNA from 1 species